rnacentral:tRNA from 1 species
CGGCGACUGGGGCGCCGGCGGGGCGGCCCAGGUCAUUGCGGUUGACCCGGAGACCGGCGUGCUGACCGGUGGCUCGGAUCCACGAGUCGAGGG